UGACAAAGUUUUAUGGCCUGAACAAAAAAAAACCUUUAGGAAGACCCAUGGUCCAGAGUUAACAGAAGAAAGAGAACAUUCAGAGUGGGGUGGGCUCCCCAGAGGACAAAGAGCCAAAGAAUGGAGAUGGAAGUGCUAAGGAAGCCCAAGAGGCAGUGGGAAUGGUUGAAGUUGGACGAUACCACAGCUACCAGAAAUGUAGAAAUGGCUCAAAAUGAUGCCUCUACGGAGCAUAAUUGGGGCUGCAGAGGGAGGACAGUGCCUUCUCAGGCCUAUGCAGCGAUGAAUCAGCCCAUGCCUGAUUCUAAACCAAGCUAAAGGCAAUAACAUUCUGGGAAUAAUUUUGGGUUCAAAUUCAACAUUUCAAAGAAAGGAUUAUUGGUAUGGUGCCAGUAUCCGCCACUAAUUUGCCGUCCCUCUAAAAAAACUCAUUAAGUGGCACGUGAACUCUGGGACACAUCAAUGAGAGAUUAAAAGGCGGGGCAAUCCAACGGCACCAUCAAACAGCCAAGAUGAGAGCUCCAUAUAGUAGCCAAAUCUAAUGGCUCAUCUGGGUAGCAAAGGACAAAAUCUAACAGCUUUUAGGUCGGAAAAGAUUGAUGGGUUUCUGCAAGCCAAGUGGAAGUCAGAGGCCCAAAAUUGCUUUGAAGAAGGUUUUGAUAGAGAUCAAUAGUAGAUAUUCUUCCUGACAAAUCCUCUUCUUUUUCUAGUUCUACCAGCCAUCCUCUCAACCACCACCAACCUGGGGGGUUGGGGUUGCGGUGGGGUGGGUGCAUACUCCAUUCUUCCAUCCAUCUUUCCUCUUUCCGUUAUGUUAUUACCUCAGGCUCGAAACUUCCCCUUCCCUUCUGUUAGAAGAGAAUUUUGCACUUUUCCCAACUAAAUUCACCUUAUAAAGAUCCUCUAAGACAAAAAUAAAUCUUCCGAACCACCUCUUAUCCCUAUGCUUUGAAACAAGGAAACCCUCCCUCUUUUUUGAUCCUGCCCAAAACUCAUUCAAUCAUUAUUCAUUGAGAGGUCAGAAAUAUAUCUCUCUUCAACAUAAAGAGAUUGAACAUUCAUUUGAUCUUGAUCCUUGUGGAGUGGAAAAGGCACUAUACUGGAUCUGCAUGGACUUCCUGAUAAUACCCAUAAAUGACCUGUUUUGGGUAAGAGAUAACAUUACCAUUUCCCAUUAAUAUAGGAACUUAUGUACCAUAACCUUCUCCCACUUUUGAAUUGUCGAAACGAGAACUCUAUGUGAGAGUAGAAGCUCCAGAAGGGGAAUUAAAGAUUUUUCUUAUGAUAUUAGUGUUUUUCCUUGGAGAUGGAAAGUUUGUCCACCUGGUCUUAUCAAUUUGCAAAUUCUUUCUCAGCUAUUUAAGAAUGAAAUUAGCUGAUAUCAGUACGAUACUAGUUAGUAUGGAUAUUAUUAUGGGAGAAAUUGAUUGUUGAAAUAAUAAUUGACAAGUCCUCUCAAACCUCAAUCCCCACAAGAGGCAGUUUGAUCUAAAAGGUUGUUGCUCAGUUUCCUCCUUUUCGGUGAUCCACCAACCCAUCCCCCAUCCUCGACUUUACAGGUAAUCAACCAUUUGGAUGUCGCCCCUCUUUAUUUUGCCAUGCUUAAAGAUCCCUCCAAAUCCUCAUCCAGUGAUCCCCCACGUGCUCCAAGGACAAUAUGCAAAUUUUGUGAGAUGUUUGAAGCUUUGGACAUCUAUAUGAUGCGCCUCUUGAUGCAAUUUUAGAGGUCUGUAGAGAAAAUGCGAGAAGAAUAAAGUUGGCAGAAGAGAAAUCAAACCAUCACAAGGAAAGAGGAUGCAAAGGCAAGGGUUGAGGUAACAGAGGGCCAGACAACCUUGUCUGUCUAACAAACCAUGACCAUUUCCUCAAAGAAACAAUGACUCGAAGUGCCCAUUUGUGCUGAAAACCGCCCAACCACCAGGCCAGCACGGGAGGGCACUCGUCAUGAAUAUCUUGUCUUGGAAUGUCCAGGGACUUGGGUACAUAGUGUGAGGUGAUGAACGGCAUCUGUAGAGAGAUUGGUGGCAGCCUAAAACCCCAAGAUCAGAGGCAAAAUCAAAAGUGUUACCUUUGGAGUGAUGGCAUGAAGAAUAUUUCCUCAUUUUGGAGUGAGGAAGAAUAUGAAAGCUGAAGAAUUAGAAGCUUCUCUAAUAUUGCAGAUAAUGACCACGUGGUUCUCCAUAAGUUGUGUGCUCUUCCAAGACAACAAGAGUUUGUCAGAGCAAGUAAAAGCAAUGAUCAAAGGAUGCAUGGUACCACACUAUAUGGCUUGAAAGACAACGCGCGGUGAUAUGAAAACUUGCUUCGACGGUAGCCCUUCUGGAGCUAGGGCACUCCGACGGUUGAUUACGUCGCUCUGGUGGUACAAAAACGCUCUCCGACGAUACAGACAUUCGCUCCGACAGUACACCUUCUGGAGCCACAGCGCUCCAGUAGUGUGGUAGUUGUCUCUGGUAGUAAACGAAUUUGCUCUGGCAUUACGUGAUCUUGCAUCGGCAGUACACCUUUUGAAGACAUUUCGCUUCGGCACUCUAUGAAUGCGCUUCGACAGUUGGGACGUUGGAGCCACAGCAUUUCGACAGUGCAUUAGGGCGCUCCGGCAGGGUUUUCAGUGCUCUGGUCGUUGAUGAAGGCGCUCUAGUGGUACACCUUCUAGAGCCACACGACAGUACCUAUUAUGAUAUGGUAAUCAUUACAAAGCGCUGCGGCAGUGUUAUUCUACGCUCCGGAAAUACGCAACUUAGGACUGCCAUUUGAAUUUUUUUGUAUGGGAAGGGAAUUUCCGUCCAAAACAUAACAACUUUUUACCUUGGGGGGUUUUUGCGAGGAAAAGUUGUUGUGGGGAAAAAAGUGAGAGGAAAAGUUGGCUAGGGGGUAAGUUGCGUAAAUAGUACAUUUGGGGGUUUUUUUUGUAAUUUUCCCUAAAUUAUAACCAUUUUGAGUUUAACUUGACCUUAUACUUCUUUUGAUUAUAUCUUGGUUGGUUUUGUAUAUAUGUAUGGAAAACAAAGACAUUAGUUGAUAGGUACUACAAGUUUGAAAGAGCUGAUUUUGAAUACCCUUUAAUAUAUGUACCUUCUUGUACUUGAGUGAGCUAUUAAA